rnacentral:rRNA from 1 species
GCCUAAAGAGAAGCUUGCGGCUGAUUAGCUUGUUGGUGAGGUAAUGGCUCACCAAGGCGACGAUCAGUAUCUGGUUUGAGAGGACGAUCAGACACACUGGAACUGAGACACGGUCCAGACUCCUACGGGAGGCAGCAGUGGGGAAUUUUCCGCAAUGGGCGAAAGCCUGACGGAGCAAUACCGCGUGAGGGAUGAAGGCCUAUGGGUUGUAAACCUCUUUUUUCAGGGAGGAACAAAAUGACGUGUACCUGAAGAAUAAGCAUCGGCUAACUCCGUGCCAGCAGCCGCGGUAAGACGGGGGAUGCAAGUGUUAUCCGGAAUCACUGGGCGUAAAGCGUCUGUAGGUGGUUAAGUAAGUCAACUGUUAAAUCUUGAGGCUCAACCUCAAAAUCGCAGUCGAAACUGCUUGACUAGAGUAUAGUAGGGGUAAAGGGAAUUUCCAGUGGAGCGGUGAAAUGCGUAGAUAUUG